rnacentral:miRNA from 1 species
UUAUAAAGAAAUGUGGCUGAGUGCCAUAGUACACUCCUGUAAUCCCAGCUACUUGGGAGGCUGAGGCAGGAGGAU